rnacentral:rRNA from 1 species
UUUAAUUCGAAGCAACGCGAAGAACCUUACCUAAGCUUGACAUCCCAAUGACAUCUCCUUAAUCGGAGAGUUCCCUUCGGUGACAUUGGUGACAGGUGGUGCAUGGUUGUCGUCAGCUCGUGUCGUGCGAUGUUGGGUUAAGUCCCGCAACGAGCGCAACCCUUGUCUUUAGUUGCCAUCAUUAAGUUGGGCACUCUAGAGAGACUGC